CAGAGUGUAGCUAAGACAGAAAAGCACCUCCCUUACACCGAGAAGACAUCCGUGCAAAUCGGGUCACCCUGA
rnacentral:tRNA from 1 species